AAUUCACAAAUCCUAACCCCUUUACCCCUUUCUCCCAAAACGCAGUCACACACACACACAGAGGAGAGGAGAGCGUCUGAGAGAGCUGAGAGGAAAAAAGGGGACUACACCACAUCGUCGUCCAGCCGCCGUCCAUCCCGCCAUCACCGGCGUCUCACUGCUGUCGCUGUGGAGACUGAAUGCCUUCGAGUUUCCUGCCGCCACCUUGGAGGCCGUCUAUCAUCAAGAGCGUCAGGAGAAAGAGAGAGGGACGAACUCGCGAGGGAGAGAGAGGAGGUUGCGCUGCGCAACCGUGGAGCCCGUCACACGUGUCACCACCGUCGGAAACAGAACCACGAAGAGGAGAGGAAGAACGACAUUGGGAGGAAACUGUGAGCUGCAAGCCGCUGACCGAGAAGAAGCCUUGUCUUCGUCGCCGCAUUGGAGUCAUCGCUGCCAACGCCGCGAACCGCCGUCAGCGCUGCCGUUGAAGGAAGCUCGCCGUCAUAGUUCAAUCAUCAUUGAGCUUGAAGGAAAGCGCCACUGAAAUACCCGACAACAGCUUCCCCUGCGUUCCCAAUUCCAUUCUUGAAACUUCAUCCCUGUCGUUCAUGCCCCUUUACUGCACCUGUUUCUCUACUGCUAUUAUUUGGAGUACCGGCGUUGAUGCUAUUAUGAAUCUGUUAGAGUUGCUAUUGAUGAGUCUGAUGCUACUUUAAUCUGGAUUGAUCUUUUCCUUGAUCAUUGUCUAUUUACACAUUUUAUUAUCACUGCCAUGCUUGUUCUGAGUUGAUUCUGGUAUAUGUCUUGUCUUGAAAUCCCCAGGGCUGUAAUUGUUCUUUAUUCCCAUCCAAUUUUAAUUCUCUGUUUCGCUGUAACUAUCAUUACUGUUGUGGAAUUGUCGCCGUUGCGAGCAUGAUUAGAGAUAGUGCCAGGUUCGGAUUUGCAUGGGAAUUGCCACUGCUGUGAGUCAAAAGGAAAAGCCGCUCACAGCAUUUAAUCUUACGAGUUUCGACAUCGAGGUAUGGGGUUUAAAAUAAUUUUAAUUU